rnacentral:rRNA from 1 species
UACGUAGGGGGCAAGCGUUGUCCGGAUUUAUUGGGCGUAAAGAGCGUGUAGGCGGCUAGAUAGGUCCGUUGUGAAAACUCGAGGCUCAACCUCGAGACGUCGGUUGAAACCGUACGGCUAGAGUCCGGAAGAGGAGAGUGGAAUUCCCGGUGUAGCGGUGAAAUGCACAGAUAUCGGGAAGAACACCCGUGGCGAAGGCGGCUCCCUGGGACGGUACUGACGCUGAGACGCGAAAGCGUGGGGAGCAAACAGG